GUGGAUGUAGCUCAGUGGUAAAGCACUUGCCUAGCAUGUGUGAGGCCCUGGGUUCAAUCCCUAGCAUUGCA
rnacentral:tRNA from 1 species